UGGGGAAUAUUGGACAAUGGGCGCAAGCCUGAUCCAGCAAUGCCGCGUGUGUGAAGAAGGCCUGCGGGUUGUAAAGCACUUUCAGUGGGGAAGACCGGCCCUGGGCGAAUACCCCAGGGGGUUGACGUUACCCACAGAAGAAGCACCGGCUAACUCCGUGCCAGCAGCCGCGGUAAUACGGAGGGUGCGAGCGUUAAUCGGAAUCACUGGGCGUAAAGCGCGCGUAGGCGGCACGAUCAGUCCGCUGUGAAAGCCCCGGGCUUAACCUGGGAACUGCAGUGGAUACUGUCGCGCUCGAGUCUGCAAGAGGGGGGUGGAAUUCCAGGUGUAGCGGUGAAAUGCGUAGAGAUCUGGAGGAACACCGGUGGCGAAGGCGGCCCCCUGGUGCAAGACUGACGCUGAGGUGCGAAGGCGUGGGGAGCAAACA
rnacentral:rRNA from 1 species